rnacentral:rRNA from 1 species
CAGCCGCCACGGUAAUACGAGGGGGGCAAGCGUUGUUCGGAAUUAUUGGGCGUAAAGGGUGCGUAGGCGGUUUGGCAAGUUUGGUGUGAAAUCUUCGGGCUCAACUCGAAGUCUGCAUCGAAAACUGCCGGGCUUGAGUAUGGGAGAGGUGAGUGGAAUUUCCGGUGUAGCGGUGAAAUGCGUAGAUAUCGGAAGGAACACCUGUGGCGAAAGCGGCUCACUGGACCAUAACUGACGCUGAUGCACGAAAGCUAGGGGAGCAAACAGGAUUAGAUACCCCCGUAGUCCCUGUCUCUUAUAC